GCCCUGAUAGCUCAGUUGGUUAGAGUGUGGGGCUGAUAAUGCUAAGGUUGCCGGUUCGCUCCCUGUGUGGGACA